rnacentral:rRNA from 1 species
CGUGUAGGCGGACUUGCAAGUCAGGCGUGAAAUCCCUGGGCUCAACCCAGGAAUUGCACUUGAAACUGCAAGUCUUGAGUAUCGGAGAGGAAAGCGGAAUUCCUGGUGUAGAGGUGAAAUUCGUAGAUAUCAGGAGGAACACCGGUGGCGAAGGCGGCUUUCUGGACGAUAACUGACGCUGAGACGCGAAAGCGUGGGAGCAAACAG